CUCGGAUCAGGUAGGGAUACCCGCUGAACUUAAGCAUAUCAAUAAGCGGAGGAAAAGAAACCAACA
rnacentral:rRNA from 1 species